rnacentral:rRNA from 1 species
GGUUAAACGCUGGCGGCAUGCCUUACACAUGCAGUCGAGCGGAUGCCGGGACUUUGCUCCUUCGUUCAGCGGCGGACGGGUGAGUAAUGCCUCGGAAUCUGCCUGGUAGUGGGGGAUAACGUUUCGAAAGGAAGGCUAAUACCGCAUACGUCCUACGGGAGAAAGCAGGGGACCUUCGGGCCUUGCGCUAUCUGAUGAGCCUAUGUCGGAUUAGCUAGUUGGUGGGGUAAUGGCUCACCAAGGCGACGAUCCGUAACUGGUCUGAGAGGAUGAUCAGUCACACUGGAACUGAGACACGGUCCAGACUCCUACGGGAGGCAGCAGUGGGGAAUUUUGGACAAUGGGCGAAAGCCUGAUCCAGCCAUGCCGCGUGUGUGAAGAAGGUCUUCGGAUUGUAAAGCUCUUUCGGUUGGGAGGAAGGGCUGUAAGCUAAUACCUUGCUGUGAUAACGUUACCGACAGAAUAAGCACCGGCUAACUCUGUGCCAGCCGCCGCGGUA